rnacentral:lncRNA from 1 species
GCUAGAUGAGUGUUUGUUGACUCCUAUAAAGAUUCAAAUAAAAAUCUGAAACAAAAGCUCAAUAAAUAUGUUUCUAGACCCUUGCUAACCCCAAUUGGUUAUUGCACCAAAUAAAGUGGGGUCCGGAAAGCUAAGGUCUAACAGAUCAGUUUGUCUUAAUAAAUUUCUAAAUUCUCUCACAUAUCUAUUAGUUUGAAACUUCUUACCCCUUUUUUUGUCAUCAGGCAAACUAAUAUAAUUAAAAUCCCCAAUCAAACUUGAGGGUGACCAAGAGAAAUUAUAAAAUUGAUUUGCUACCAUAGCUUUCUCCUUUCUAAACCAUUAGCACUUGCAUAAACAACCCCCAAGAUCCAAGUAGGACAAUUAGGUAAGAAAAUGGUGCCAAAAGCCACCUGCCUAUCCAUAUGGAAAAAAGAAAAAAUCCCAUAUAACAAUUAUUCCACCUAGAAGUCCCAUAGCAGGAAUCAUAAAGACAUCCCAU